rnacentral:lncRNA from 1 species
AUAUAUUUAAUUUAUAUUUAUAAUAUUUUUAUAAAUUAAAAAUAUAUAAUUAAAAUAAAAAAUUUAUAUAAUAAAUUUAUAAAUAAAUUUUAUCAUUUUAUUAUAUUAAAUUAAAAUUAUAAAAGAUCUAAAAUAAAAAUAAAAAGCUACAUAAAGAGACCGUCAAGUAUCGACAUUUGCAGAAGAAAAAUGGACUGGGAAAGGAGAGCGCUCGGAAGAGCUCGAACCAACCUGCUACUGCCUCAUCAGCUGCAUCAUCUACUCCAUUUGCGCUAUCCACUCC